AGAACGAACGCUGGCGGCAUGCCUAACACAUGCAAGUCGAACGCAGCUUCGGGUGAGUGGCGGACGGGUGAGUAACACGUGGGAACGUGCCUUUUGGUUCGGAAUAAUCCGGGGAAACCUGGCCUAAUACCGGAUGUGCCCCCUCCUUUAACCAGGGGGGUGGGAAAGAUUUAUCGCCAAUAGAGCGGCCCGCGUCUGAUUAGCUAGUUGGUGGGGUAAAGGCCCACCAAGGCGACGAUCAGUAGCUGGUCUGAGAGGAUGAUCAGCCACACUGGGACUGAGACACGGCCCAGACUCCUACGGGAGGCAGCAGUAGGGAAUCUUGCGCAAUGGGCGAAAGCCUGACGCAGCCAUGCCGCGUGAAUGAUGAAGGUCUUAGGAUUGUAAAUUCUUUCAGCGGGGAAGAUAAUGACUGUACCCGCAGAAGAAGCUCCGGCUAACUUCGCGCCAGCAGCCGC
rnacentral:rRNA from 1 species